UACGUAGGGUGCGAGCGUUAAUCGGAAUUACUGGGCGUAAAGCGUGCGCAGGCGGUUCGUUGUGUCGGCGGUGAAAGCCCCGGGCUUAACCUGGGAAUGGCCGUUGAAACUGGCGAACUGGAGUGUGGCAGAGGGGGGUGGAAUUCCGCGUGUAGCAGUGAAAUGCGUAGAGAUCGGGAGGAACAUCAGUGGCGAAGGCGGCCAUCUGGGACAACACUGACGCUGAAGCACGAAAGCGUGGGGAGCAAACAGG
rnacentral:rRNA from 1 species